CUGGUCUUAGCCUAGUGGUUCCCGCAACAGACUCAAAAUCUGUUUCUCUUGGACUGUGCAGGUUUGAAACCUGCCGACAACA